GACGAACGCUGGCGGCGUGCCUAAUACAUGCAAGUAGGACGCAGUUGCGAACGGGUGAGUAACGCGUAGGUAACUACCUAUUAGAGGGGGAUAACUAUUGGAAACGAUAGCUAAUACCGCAUACUAGUAGAUGGACCUGCGUUGUAUUAGCUAGUAGGUAGGGUAAUGGCCUACCUAGGGAACGAUACAUAGCCGACCUGAGGGGGUGGUCGGCCAACCUGGGACUGAGACAAGGGCCAGACUCCUAAGGGAGGGAGCAGUAGGGAAACUUCGGCAAUGGGGGGAACCCUGAACGAGCAACGCCGCGUGGGUGAAGAAAGUUUUCGGAUUGUAAAGCUCUGUUGUGAAGGAAGCGGUACUUAACCAGAAAGGGACGGCUAACUACGUGCCAGCAGCCGCGGUAAUUC
rnacentral:rRNA from 1 species